rnacentral:lncRNA from 1 species
CUCGACACAAGCAGCACGACACACAUGAACACAAAAUAUUUUUCAUACCCUCAUCAUGGAAAGUACAUGAAGAAAAGCAUAUGAUGCAGCUUUUAAGUUGAAAACAAUUGAUCUGUCUAUCCAGGAAGGAAAUAGACCUGCUGCAUGUAAGCUUGGCAUUAAUGAAUCAAUGGUGAGACGUUGGAGACGGCAGUGUGAAGAAAAAAGCGGCACUCUGAGUGGGUGCGGCAUAUAUUCCGAUGUGCUCUAUAGUCCAGUAAAUACAGACUUGAAUGACAUCAUGAUCCAUC